AGGAUGAACGCUGGCGGCGUGCUUAACACAUGCAAGUCGAACGAUGAAGGCUGGAGCUUGCUCUGGCUGGAUUAGUGGCGAACGGGUGAGUAACACGUGAGUAACCUGCCCCAGACUCUGGGAUAAGCGCUGGAAACGGCGUCUAAUACCGGAUACGAGCUUCCACCGCAUGGUGAGGAGCUGGAAAGAAUUUCGGUCUGGGAUGGACUCGCGGCCUAUCAGCUUGUUGGUGAGGUAAUGGCUCACCAAGGCGACGACGGGUAGCCGGCCUGAGAGGGUGACCGGCCACACUGGGACUGAGACACGGCCCAGACUCCUACGGGAGGCAGCAGUGGGGAAUAUGCACAAUGGGCGAAAGCCUGACGCAGCCAUGCCGCGUGAAUGAUGAAGGUCUUAGGAUUGUAAAAUUCUUCACCGGGACGAUAAUGACGGUACCGAGAAGAAGCCCGGCCAACUCGUGCCAGCAGCCGCGUAAU
rnacentral:rRNA from 1 species